ACGAGUUAGGGUCUUCUAGGCCCGACCUCCCAACCCUUUGUUUAUUGAACCUCUGUUGCUUCGGCGGACCCGUCUCGCGACCGCCGGAGGAUCACCGCAAGGCGUCCUCUGGCCAGUGUCCGCCGAUAGCCAACCUCUUAAACCCUGAAUAAAUCGUGUCAUAUCUAAGUCUAUGAUUAAAUCAAAGCA
rnacentral:misc_RNA from 1 species